UUCGUCUUUUAAUUGAGGACUGGAAUGAAAGAGUAAACUGAAAGAACUUUUUUUUUGUUGAAGAAAUGAAUUUUACUUUUUAGUAAGAAGGCUAAAAUAAUUCUUUAAGACGAGAAGACCCUAUAAAACUUCAUAUUUUUUCUUCAAUAAUAAAAGGAAAAAUAUUUUACUGGGGCGGUAGAGAAAUUUGACUUUCUUUGAAAGAAGAAACAGAAAAGUUUUUAUAUCUAGAAUUUCUGAAGAAGGAAUAAGUUACUUUAGGGAUAACAGCUUAAUACAUUCGGAAAGAUCAAAUUGAUGAAUGAGUUUAUGACCUCGAUGUUGAAUUAAAAUUUCUUUCUUAUGUAGUAG
rnacentral:rRNA from 1 species